ensembl:lncRNA
GCUAAAAAAAGAAAAAAAGACUAUAGAAGAGGAGAAUGGAGAAGAAAAAGGAGACAAGAGGAGUCUAACUGAUAUGAAGAAUUUAAGGCCUGAACUUUAAAAACUUUGGGUUCCCAAGAUAAAUUUGAGUGAUGUUGUUGAACUGUGUCUUACCCAUCAGAGUCCCAAGCAUGUGCUGCAGACUAUGGGACUGCAGAGACAGGUGAGAACGAGUUUCUGGCAUUAAAUGUCGCAUCCGGAAGGCAACUCAGGACACUCUCAACAGUGAUGGUGCACACGAUGGAGCGAGGGGCCACAGGUGGAUACCGUGACUCACACGGGAUCUGACAUUCGAUCUGGACCUGUACUCACCCUGAAUCAAAGGCAAGAAAAGAAAAUUCCAAAAUCAAGGAAGAAAGACAACUCUCCUUGCGCUACACGUGCCGUCACCACAAACCCACCUUCUCCUGCGUGACCUCAGGUGCCCUUAAAUUAAUGCUGUGAAGGGCACAGGAAAGGCACAGCUACACCACUUGCAGAAAGAGCUCAGUCACAGGGAGCUCCGGGAGAUACUGAAGUUGGGGCAGGGGGACCCAGAAUCCAGGACUCUUCCCUUCCUGGUUGGGGAAAAGGACUGGUUCUGAGAUUAAAACCAGCAUUUCCUGUUUGUGAAGAGGUAUCAGGUGUACAUCUUCAAUUAAGAUGUAAAUUCUGGAGAUCUCUUCCACACCACUAUGAUUAUACUAUAAGCUAACAAUACUGUGUUAAUACUUGAAAUUUACUCAGGAUCAUUAUCAACCCUAAAAUGGCAAGUAUAUGAAGUCAUGGAUGGUUUAAUUAGGUUGGUUUUGGUAAUCAUCUUACAGUGUAUACAUUUAUCAAAUCAUCACAUUGUUCACUUUAAAUAUAUGCAAUUUUAUUUAUCAAUAAAAUAAAAAAGUGGAAGCAGUGACAUAUUUCACUUUCUUGUGCUUCAAGAUCACUGCAGACAGUGGCUGUAGCCACAGAAUUCCAAGACACUUGCUCCAUGGAAGGAAAGCUAUUAAUAUGAAAAAACUAGACAGUGUAUUAAAAAGCAGGGAUAUCACUUUGCUGACAAAGGUGCAUAUAGUCAAAGCUGUGGCUUUUCCAGUGGUCAUGUAUGGAUGUGAACCAUAAGGAAGACUGAGCACCAAAGAAUUGAUGUUCUUGAACUGCGGUGCUGGGGAAGACUCUUGAGAGUCCCUUGGACUGCAAGGAAUUUCAACCAGUCAAUCCUAAAGGAAACCAACCCUGAAUAUUCAUUGGAAGGACUGAUGUUGAAGCUGAAGAUCCAAUAUUUUGGCCACCUGAUGCGAAGAGCCAGCUCAUUGGAAAAGACCCUGAUGCUGGCAAAAAUUGAAAGCAAGAGGAGAAGUGGGCAGCAGAGGAUAAGAUGGUUAGAUAGAUUCACCAGCUCAACCAAAUGACACAAAUUUGAGCAAACUCUUGGAGUAGAGGUGGACAAAGGAGCCUGCCGUGCUGCAGCCCGUGGGGUUGCAAAGAGUCAACAUACUUAGCAACUGAAUAGCAAUGACAAAAAAGAGACAACUCUCAUUGUUUAAAUACUUGGGGAAAACAAUGGUAUGAAUGAAGAAUUAUUUUCAAAAAACUGUUAUGUGCUCUGGUCUGAAGUGUGUCCCCUCCCACCCAAAUUCAUAGUUGAAACCCUCCUCAGCAGUUCCUCAAAACAUGACUGUAUUUGGAGAUGCAGACUUUAAAGAUGCUGGGCCCUGAUCCUUCUUCAGAAACACACACAGAAGAGGAUCACGGGAUGGCACAGAGAGAAGAUGCAUCUGCAAGCCAAGGAGAGAGCCCUCAGAAGAAACCAACCCUGCUGACACCUUGACCUCAGGCUUCUAAGAAACCAACCCUGCUGACACCUUGACCUCAGGCUUCUAGCUUCCAGAUUUUGCAAGGACCACCCCUACCCACUCUUGAAGAAACGUCUAACUUUCCAGAGUCACUCUCCCAGCCACGGAAGCCAGUCUGCUCCCUGGAGAUCAGUUUGGGGAACUUCAGGUCCCCAGCGGCUAAUGGAAAUUUACAAAAGCUGUGACCAAAUUGUCAGAACUCUUCCAGAUCUGCUUGAGGCCAAAUGUCAAAUAAUGCAAUCAGGCUCAGAAGACACAGAAGCAUG